CACGUAGGGUGCGAGCGUUGUCCGGAAUUAUUGGGCGUAAAGAGCUCGUAGGCGGUGUGUCGCGUCGGCCGUGAAAACUUGGGGCUUAACUCUGAGCGUGCGGUCGAUACGGGCAUCACUUGAGUUCGGCAGGGGAGACUGGAAUUCCUGGUGUAGCGGUGAAAUGCGCAGAUAUCAGGAGGAACACCCGUGGCGAAGGCGGCACUCUGGGACGGUACUGACGCUGAGACGCGAAAGCGUGGGGAGCGAACAGG
rnacentral:rRNA from 1 species